rnacentral:rRNA from 1 species
UACGUAGGGUGCAAGCGUUUAAUCGGAAUUACUGGGCGUAAAGCGUGCGCAGGCGGUGAUGUAAGACAGGUGUGAAAUCCCCGGGCUUAACCUGGGAACUGCAUUUGUGACUGCAUCGCUGGAGUGCGGCAGAGGGGGAUGGAAUUCAUGGUGUAGCAGUGAAAUGCGUAGAGAUCAUGAGGAAGACCAGUGGCGAAGGCGGGUCUCUGGACAGUUCCUGACACUGAGACACGAAGGCCAGGGGAGCAAACGGG